AUACAGAAUGUAUUCAAGGAAGAGAUCAUGUAUACAAGGAAGAGAUCAUGUAUUCAAGGAAGAGAUCAUGUAUUCAAGGAAGAGAUCAUGUAUACAAGGAAGAGAUCAUGUGUACAAGGAAGAGAUCAUGUGUACAAGGAAGAGAUCAUGUGUACAAGGAAGAGAUCAUGUAUUCAAGGAAGAGAUCAUGUAUUCAAGGAAGAGAUCAUGUAUACAAGGAAGAGAUCAUGUGUACAAGGAAGAGAUGUGUACACGGAAGAGAUCAUGUGUACAAGGAAGAGAUGUGUACACGGAAGAGAUCAUGUGUACAAGGAAGAGAUCAUGUAUACAAGGAAGAGAUCAUGUAUACAAGGAAGAGAUCAUGUGUACAAGGAAGAGAUGUGUACACGGAAGAGAUCAUGUGUACAAGGAAGAGAUCAUGUAUACAAGGAAGAGAUCAUGUAUUCAAGGAAGAGAUCAUGUGUACAAGGAAGAGAUCAUGUAUACAAGGAAGAGAUCAUGUGUACAAGGAAGAGAUCAUGUGUACAAGGAAGAGAUCAUGUGUACAAGGAAGAGAUCAUGUAUACAAGGAAGAGAUCAUGUGUACAAGGAAGAGAUCAUGUAUACAAGGAAGAGAUCAUGUGUACAAGGAA